rnacentral:rRNA from 1 species
GAUGAACGCUGGCGGCGUGCCUAAUACAUGCAAGUCGAGCGAACGGACGAGAAGCUUGCUUCUCUGAUGUUAGCGGCGGACGGGUGAGUAACACGUGGAUAACCUACCUAUAAGACUGGGAUAACUUCGGGAAACCGGAGCUAAUACCGGAUGAUAUUUUGAACCGCAUGGUUCAAAAGUGAAAGACGGUCUUGCUGUCACUUAUAGAUGGAUCCGCGCUGCAUUAGCUAGUUGGUAAGGUAACGGCUUACCAAGGCAACGAUGCAUAGCCGACCUGAGAGGGUGAUCGGCCACACUGGAACUGAGACACGGUCCAGACUCCUACGGGAGGCAGCAGUAGGGAAUCUUCCGCAAUGGGCGAAAGCCUGACGGAGCAACGCCGCGUGAGUGAUGAAGGUCUUCGGAUCGUAAAACUCUGUUAUUAGGGAAGAACAUAUGUGUAAGUAACUGUGCACAUCUUGACGGUACCUAAUCAGAAAGCCACGGCUAACUACGUGCCAGCAGCCGCGGUAAUACGUAGGUGGCAAGCGUUAUCCGGAAUUAUUGGGCGUAAAGCGCGCGUAGGCGGUUUUUUAAGUCUGAUGUGAAAGCCCACGGCUCAACCGUGGAGGGUCAUUGGAAACUGGAAAACUUGAGUGCAGAAGAGGAAAGUGGAAUUCCAUGUGUAGCGGUGAAAUGCGCAGAGAUAUGGAGGAACACCAGUGGCGAAGGCGACUUUCUGGUCUGUAACUGACGCUGAUGUGCGAAAGCGUGGGGAUCAAACAGGAUUAGAUACCCUAGUAGUCCACGCCGUAAACGAUGAGUGCUAAGUGUUAGGGGGUUUCCGCCCCUUAGUGCUGCAGCUAACGCAUUAAGCACUCCGCCUGGGGAGUACGACCGCAAGGUUGAAACUCAAAGGAAUUGACGGGGACCCGCACAAGCGGUGGAGCAUGUGGUUUAAUUCGAAGCAACGCGAAGAACCUUACCAAAUCUUGACAUCCUUUGACAACUCUAGAGAUAGAGCCUUCCCCUUCGGGGGACAAAGUGACAGGUGGUGCAUGGUUGUCGUCAGCUCGUGUCGUGAGAUGUUGGGUUAAGUCCCGCAACGAGCGCAACCCUUAAGCUUAGUUGCCAUCAUUAAGUUGGGCACUCUAAGUUGACUGCCGGUGACAAACCGGAGGAAGGUGGGGAUGACGUCAAAUCAUCAUGCCCCUUAUGAUUUGGGCUACACACGUGCUACAAUGGACAAUACAAAGGGCAGCGAAACCGCGAGGUCAAGCAAAUCCCAUAAAGUUGUUCUCAGUUCGGAUUGUAGUCUGCAACUCGACUACAUGAAGCUGGAAUCGCUAGUAAUCGUAGAUCAGCAUGCUACGGUGAACACGUUCCCGGGUCU